CGGCGGACGGGUGAGUAACGCGUGGGUAACCUGCCUUAUACAGGGGGAUAACAGUUAGAAAUGACUGCUAAUACCGCAUAAGCGCACAGUACCGCAUGGUAGUGUGUGAAAAACUCCGGUGGUAUAAGAUGGACCCGCGUCUGAUUAGCCAGUUGGCGGGGUAACGGCCCACCAAAGCGACGAUCAGUAGCCGACCUGAGAGGGUGACCGGCCACAUUGGGACUGAGACACGGCCCAAACUCCUACGGAAGGCAGCAG
rnacentral:rRNA from 1 species